rnacentral:sRNA from 1 species
CAGCUUUACAUACUUUACUUUCAUUCAGUCUUUCAGGCAAUAGACAUCUACAUUUGUUGUCUAGUCUCAAAUUAUUUUUCGUUUGAUUCAAACUUCCAUACGGAUUAAUCAUGUGCAGUGGACCUUGUGGAUCUUGCUGUGGACUUUGCGGUGGUUGCUGUGGUCCUUGCGGACCUCGCUGCGGGCCAUGUGGAUCGUGUUGUGGACCUUGCUAUGUGUCAUGCUGCGGACCUUGUGGCCCCUGCGGAGGGUGUUGUUGGUGCUGAAUAGAUUUCUUGAUUUAGAGCUUUAUCCCAGUAUCUUCAGCAAACUAAAAUACACACGUCGAUCAUAGAUUCAUCAUAAUGGAUAGCACCAUUUCAGGACAAGAAACCAAUUAGAUUACUUAUCCGGCCAAUCAAACGAAAUAAUUUGAGACGAUUCAACGAAUAAAUAAAAUUGUACACCUUCAAA